rnacentral:rRNA from 1 species
GGGGAAUAUUGCACAAUGGGGGAAACCCGUAGAUGCAGCGACGCCGCGUGAGCGAAGAAGUAUUUCGGUAUGUAAAGCUCUAUCAGCAGGGAAGAAAACGACGGUACCUGACUAAGAAGCACCGGCUAAAUACGUGCCAGCAGCCGCGGUAAUACGUAUGGUGCAAGCGUUAUCCGGAUUUACUGGGUGUAAAGGGAGCGCAGGCGGUGCGGCAAGUCUGAUGUGAAAGCCCGGGGCUCAACCCCGGUACUGCAUUGGAAACUGUCGGACUAGAGUGUCGGAGGGGUAAGUGGAAUUCCUAGUGUAGCGGUGGAAUGCGUAGAUAUCGGGAGGAACACCAGUGGCGAAGGCGACCUACUGGGCACCAACUGACGCUGAGGCUCGAAAGCAUGGGUAGCAAACAGGAUUAGAUACCCUGGUA